rnacentral:misc_RNA from 1 species
GGCAUGCACCACCACAUCUGU